rnacentral:pre_miRNA from 1 species
CAUGCACCAGUGGGGUCCCUUGGCCUGGCCUGUGGGAUUGGGUGGAAACCGACUCUCCAACACCCCCUGAGGGACACCGGAUUGCGAAAGGGUGCAGGCCAGGCCGAGGGACCCCACUGGUGCACA